CUAAAUCACGUAGAAACUUCCUAAACAGUGUCUAAGCAUUUUAGAUCAUAGCAACAACGCUCAUACGCCUGACAACAAUGGUUUGAACGCACAAACAAUGGAUUCUGAGCCUCCUCCUGUGCCGAACGCUUUCUUGAGUCGCCUAUUACACGGUUUCGAACUACAUGUACUGAGACCCAGCCCACAUCCUUCCCUGCUUCCUUCCAAACCAGCCAUACCUCCAACUCUGUCUUUGCAGCAACCAGCCCCACCUCCAUAUCUGCUGCAGCAACCAGCCCCACCUUCCUAUCUGCUCUCUCUGACCUGCAAGACGAAGUGGCAAAGAAAGCAAGAAAUUCGCUCCCCCAAAGUCAAGUAAAGAAGUAGAACAAGCAAGAAAGGAAACAAUACCAAAGAAACACUCAUUGACAUCAAGUAUUGCUUAUUAUUAUGUACUUUUAUUAUGGUUAUUAUCUUAUCUUGAUCAAAUCUUUGCUACAUGAUUUUCUAUUGAAGUACAUGAUUUUCUAUUAAAGUACAUGAUUUUCUAAAUUGGAUAGAACAUUUCCUCUAACCAAUCAGAUUGCA